UUGCCUAUCGGGGCCGUGGAUACCUGCUUUUUUUUU
rfam:Lemur catta clone LBgap101 XIST gene, partial sequence, complete sequence.